GCCCGCCUAGCUCAAUCGGAUAGAGCGUCAGACUCUUACCUCAGGCGGGUUUGUAAUCUGAAGGCUGCGAGUUCGACCCUCGCGGUGGGCU
rnacentral:tRNA from 1 species